rnacentral:rRNA from 1 species
GAAAUAAAGCAAAUAUUAAGAAAUAUAUUACAAUUUAAUUUGGCUUUAUAUUUUAGUUUAUUAAGGAUAAGCUUGAUAAAAACAUUGAAGAAAAUACAGGCCUUAGUUAAUUAUUUAGGCUUGAAAUUAGCCAUUGCAAUGAAACUUGUUAUAAAGUAGUUUUCUUAAAAUAGGAAAAUUUUUAUAUUUUUUACUCUACUAAUAAUAGGGGCAAAAAGAGAAACUAAUAAACUUAAUUUGUUUAUGCUAAAAUGAGUAUUUAUUAGAUUAAUGUGUAGAUAUAAAUAUUUAAAAGAAUGUCUAUGAAAACAAUUAUUUUAAACCUAAAUGAAAAGAAGGAACUCGGCAAAUACUAGCUCCGCCUGUUUAUCAAAAACAUGGCUCUUUGCCGUUUUUAUAUAAAGAGUCAGACCUGCCCAGUGAAAUUUUUUAACGGCCGCGGUACCCUGACCGUGCAAAGGUAGCAUAAUCAUUUGCCUUAUAAUUGAAGGCUUGUAUGAAUGGUUCGACGAGAGCUUUGCUGUCUCAAUUUCAGUAGAUAGAACUUAACUUUCUAGGUGAAGGGGCCUAGAUAUAAUUGAAAGACAAGAAGACCCUGUCGAGCUUAAAAACUAGAUUAGAAAUAAUUAUAGUAAUUUAGAUUUACUACUAAUUGUGAUUUUUUGGUUGGGGCGACUAAGGAACAAUAAAAGCUUCCUUUUUUAUUCUGACUUGCAGGUAUUGAUCCAGCUAAGGCUGAUUGAAAGAAUUAGUUACCGCAGGGAUACCAGCAUAAUCUCUCUAGAGAGACCAAAUCGAAAGAGGGGGUUGUGACCUCGAUGUUGGACUAGAAUAUCCUAAAGAUGCAGAAGUCUNUAAAGG